AAGUAUGCAAAGGGAAUGACAAAGAGAGAGAGGCAGAGGUUCACUCAAAAAAACUAAGUACUCUACUACUUAGAAAAGAGAUUACAACACACAUACUCCCUCUUGUGUGUUUAGCCUUAACCAAACCUCACUACUUAUAAGCUCCUAGAUACAAUGAACCUAGACACACACUAACUCUCUCAUUAUGACACAUAUUAACUCACCAACUAUUUUAUAGUAAUGAGCCCUCAUAAUGACCAAAAGCUCAAGAGUCACCCAUAACUCCCAUGAGUUUCAUAACCCUUGAGUUUCCCACAGCAGGUUGGGUUUGGGUAUUGACAACCUGAUUCGACCCGUUACCAACCCGAACUCGCUAGCAGAUUUGGGCCACUGUCAAGGAGAAAUCAGCGGAAAAUAUUUUGUCCGUGACAUUCUCCCCCACCUAACGCGCAGACGCCCUCGUCGCGCGCCGAGUCGCUCCCGGUCCGCAUAGCCUUCCGCGUGGUCCGUCGUGCCUUCGCGCGCGAUCUGCCCCGUGCCUUGCUCCCAAUGUCCACAUCUGUCCCCGCACCAGCACCUAGUGUCUUGCCCCUCUGAGCAAGUGCACCAGCGAGCCUGCUGUGCGAAGAGUUCGCCGGAUGUGCAUGUCUUCCGCGACACGCACGCGCACUCUGCCAAGCUGCAGAACGCCCCGAGUGUGCAUGUCCUCCGCGACACGCGCGUACUCCGCCAAGCUGCAGAACGCCUUUUGGUCCUCGCAGGCUCCUUAGCAGAAUAACUUGCACUUUGCUUGGACGCUGGCCACUCCAGCGCCAUAUGAGACUCGAUAGUCUCGCCGCCGCUCAGGCCCUCCUCCUCGAGGUCCUCGGCCGUCCCGCGCUUCACCUCCUCGCAAAGCUGCAGGGCUGUCAGAGUUGAACUCUCGUUGCACCCUUUUGCGUCCCAUGGAUCCUCGAGGUCCUCGGCCUUCCCGCGCUUCACCUCCUCGCAAAGCUGCAGGGCUGUCAGAGUUGAACUCUCGUUGCACCCUUUUGCGUCCCAUGGAUCGCGGUGCUCUCCCCCACCUUUGGCCUUGCUCGCCUUUGAUGGUUCACCUCGAUCGCCCUCGGUUCGCUCCCGCUCGAGCACAACGUCAACGACGACAGCUUCCAACAAAGACAUGGUUCCUUCUCGAACCGGCUCUGAUACCAACUGUCACGGCCUUAGCGUUUCUGUUCGCAAAGCCCGUGCGGCGCCCGCCUUCCUGCUCGAAGAUGGGCAAGCCUUCGUCCCUAUUGCUAGCCUGGACCUUCGCGCCGUACGACUAAGUAUGCAAAGGGAAUGACAAAGAGAGAGAGGCAGAGGUUCACUCAAAAAAACUAAGUACUCCAGUACUUAGAAAAGAGAUUACAACACACAUACUCCCUCUUGUGUGUUUGGCCUUAACCAAAUCUCACUACUUAUAAGCUUCUAGAUACAAUGAACUUAGACACACACUAACUCUCUCAUUAUGACACAUAUUAACUCACCAACUAUUUUAUAGUAAUGAGCCCUCAUAAUGACCAAAAGCUCAAGAGUCACCCAUAACUCCCAUGAGUUUCAUAACCCUUUGAGUUUCCCACAGCAGGUUGGGUUUGGGUAUUGACAACCUGAUUCGACCUGUUACCAACCCGAACUCGCUAGCAGAUUUGGGCCACUGUCAAGGAGAAAUCAGCGGAAAAUAUUUUGUCCGUGACACCUUUGUACUCAUAAAUUUUCGACCGUUCGGAUGAAAAAAUGUGCGGGUAGGAUGAGAGUGGUUACGGUUAGGUUGAUAGUGGGCCCUCUAGGGUUGAGUGGGUGGUUGGUUGAAUAGUAUAAUCUAACGGGUGAAAAUGAUUAAAGGGAAGAUCUAACGGUUAAAAACUUAUGAGUACAAGAGACUCUAUACUCAUAAGAGUAUAAUAGCCGGACUAUAUAUAUAUAUAUAUAUAUAUAUAUAUAUAUAUAUAUAUAUAUAUAUAUAGUAGGACUACUAUACUAUUAUGAGUAUUGGGUCCUUCGUACUCAUAAGUUGUUUUCGAUGAUGGAGCUUCCGAAUCGACGAUCCACUCCGUUAAAUAUGAUCUAGAGUAUUUGAAACUUCUAGAANNNNNNNNNNNNNNUCUUGAACGCUUGUAUCUAUUUGGAUCUUCUCAAUUGGGGUGCCCUUUAUGGCUCAUGGUAUAAGAUCCCUUCUUGGUAGGGGGAAUUAGUGGUUUAAAUCGCUCUUUCGAUAUGGUACUGGGUUAUGCUUGCUACAAAUUGAAGAAAUAAUGGAUUUAUUGGUUUUUUAUUUUUUUCCUGAGAAGAGCAAAUUUAAUUUAGUCGUUGGAUAUAUGAGGGUUUUAGAAACAUGAAAAAUAUGGUGCGAAAGCAUGAAUUUGUUCAUAAAUUACUGUAACUCGGCGUAGGUUUCUUUCUUGUAUCAUGUUGGUUUCAUAGGUGUUCUAGUCGGUUCAGCUGCUAAUUUUGGAUGGUACUGAGGAUUUCUCCAUAAACUUGCAACACAAUUUGUCAGAAGAAUUCAGCAAGUUGCUUCUCAUGUUCAAUCUUUUGAAUUAUGAUGCCUCAAGCACAUUAACUUUUCACUGCUUCUAAUCUAUUGAACUAUCUUAUCUGAAGGAUUCAUGAGGUUUUGUUAACCGAUGUCAUCUUGAGAAGGCAAAAGCUUCCCUG
rnacentral:lncRNA from 1 species